UACGUAGGUGGCAAGCGUUGUCCGGAUUUAUUGGGCGUAAAGGGAGCGCAGGCGGUGACUUAAGUCUGAUGUGAAAGCCCACGGCUCAACCGUGGAAGGUCAUUGGAAACUGGGUCACUUGAAUAUAGAAGAGGAAAGUGGAAUUCCAUGUGUAGCGGUGAAAUGCGUAGAUAUCAGGAGGAACACCGGCGGCGAAGGCGGCUUGCUGGACGGCAACUGACGUUGAGGCUCGAAAGCGUGGGGAGCAAACAGGAUUAGAUACCCUGGUA
rnacentral:rRNA from 1 species